rnacentral:rRNA from 1 species
UACGAAGGGGGCUAGCGUUGCUCGGAAUCACUGGGCGUAAAGGGCGCGUAGGCGGACUCUUAAGUCGGGGGUGAAAGCCCAGGGCUCAACCCUGGAAUUGCCUUCGAUACUGAGAGUCUUGAGUUCGGAAGAGGUUGGUGGAACUGCGAGUGUAGAGGUGAAAUUCGUAGAUAUUCGGAGGAACACCAGUGGCGAAGGCGGCUCACUGGCUCGACACUGACGCUGAGGUGCGAAAGCGUGGGGAGCAAACAGG